rnacentral:tRNA from 1 species
UCCCAGGUGGUAUUAGUGGUAAAGAACCUGACUGCCAGUCAGGAGACUUAGGUUCAAUCCCUGGCUCAGGAA